GGAUGUGCCCUGUGCCACACAUCGGCCCGGGGAACAUGUUCUGAACCCAGUAAGAGGCAACCCCUCCUGGAAGGAGGCUACUCCCCCAGCUCCUCCGACAGCCAAGGGGACUCCUGGGCUCCAGAAACAUGACUGUGGCAGGGGCUUCCUGAGAAUAAGAGCCUCUGCUUAGUGCUGAGGCAGAGUCCCGAAACGACAGCCACAAAAUCAUCAGUCAGCAGUUCUGCUCCCAGCGCGCUGGGCUGGGUGGGGCGUGCUGGAGGAAGGCAUCUGCCUCACUGCUAAGGCACUCAGGACCUGGCCGUUACAGCCCAUCAGCCCUUGCUCCUGAGCCUGAAUCCUAGCGCGAAGGGUCCCCCAGUCCUAUGAGAGAGACGAGGAUGCACACAGCAUGGCGGCAGGCCUCAGGGAAAAAGGCAACGUGCCUUCCACGGGGCCACGUGUCCUAUGGUGUGGCAGCUAACACAGGCACAAGGCACACGAAUCAUGUGGCGAGAAACCUCUGCUGCAAUUCUCCUUCCGUGUUUCUGAUUCUGACAAAGAGGAACUUCCAGGUGGGCACUGCUGAAGUAUAGACCUUUCUGUUUUUCUUUUUUAGGCAGGGUCUUGCUUUGUUGCCCAGGCUGAAAGGCAGUGGCAUGAUCACAGCUCACAGCAGCCUCGAAUUCCUGGACUCAAGUGAUCCUCCCACCUCAGCCUCCCAAGUAGCUGGGGCUAUAGACAUGCACCACUAUGACUGGCUAAUUUCAUUUUCUGUACAGACAAGGUAUCAUGUUGCCCAACUGGGCCUGAACACCCGGGCUAAAGCGACCCUCCUGCCUCAGCCUCCCGAGCGCUGGGAUUACAGGUGUGUGAACCACCGCGCCCAGCCUGAACAGCUCUUUCAUAAGGGCACACACCUCAGGCUCAAGGGUGGGGUAGCCAGGAAGAUUUUAUUCCAUUGUUUUGUUGCUGUUGUAUUUGUAAUUCCAGUAAAUCCAGGUUUCCUGGGUUUUUUGUUUGUUUGGGUUUUUUUGUUUGAAAUAGAGUGCAGUGGUGCUAUGUCGGCUCACUGCAACCUCGGUCUCCUGGGUUCAAGCGAUUCUCCUGCCUCAGCCUCCCAAGUAGCUGAGACUACGGAUGCGCACAGCACACCAGGCUAAUUUUUGUAUUUUUAGUAGAGACGGGGUUUCACCACGUGGGCCAGGCUGGUCUCAAACUCCUGACCUCAUGAUCCACCCGCCUCGGCCUCCCAAGUGCUGAGACUGUAAGCGUGAGCCACCAUGUCCGGCCUAUUCCAACUACUGCUAGUGACAGCAAGGAAAGUACCACAAUCCUUCUAAAGUAAGUUUCCAAAGUGAGCCAAUUUAAGAGGAAAGAGGCUCAAUCAGUCAGACUUCGAGCUGAAGGACAGGCGGCAGCUGAGAACCUGCCUGCUGCUUCAGGGCGUCACCGCUGCUGGCUGCCCGAACGCGGGGAAAGGGGACCCAGGCUUGGAAGGCAGAUACCGAGAGAGGCGGCGGAUGCACAGGAUGCGUCGCAGACUCCAAGACAGAAGGGGGCGUCCACAGGAAGAAGUGGGAGGAGCCGCAGGGCCGACUGUGGACUGUGGCAAUCAGAGGGAAGUCACCAUAGCACCUGGGCGAGGCCAGCGAGGGAGUGCAGGACAGGUGGCCAGGCCCAGCCACAGCGAAAGCCCUAAGGAUGGCCAAUAGGGCUGGAGAGCUGGUUUCUGGAGGCCAGGAGUGGUCUGGUUUGGGAACAAAUUCAAGCCAGGGAACCACCAACUCUGAGCAGACUGGCCCGGCUAGGCAGCAACAGGUGCAUUUGGGCCUGGCCUCAAUCAAGGGGGAAAGCAGGGGCCCGCGCUCGGCUUCCUCAGGACCCUGCUCGUGCAGGCUCCAGGUCAGAGACCACCUGUGACACGCUCAGGCCCCUCUGACCCGGCCAAGUUCAGGUGACUCUCAGCUGCAGCCCUGGAGCUGGACACACACCCUAAACCACAUGAAACACUCUCUAAGCUGUUGGCUCUUCAGACCAGUCGGACCUGUUCCCAACCGAGUUCUCCAAGGCCUUACCUGGUUCCCUGGUGCUCUGACACGGCCUGGUCAGAUGCCUGGCCGGGGGACCAGGGGCUGCUGCUGAGGCACCACCAGGAACAAUGCAGGGCCCCUGUAGAGGACAGCCCCCCCACUCUGAGAACGAGCCCCCUAACUCAGCCUCUGCCGGGUGCAUCUCUGAUGACCUUGUCAGCAGGCCAGUGCCCAGCAGGCCAUGGCCUGUCACAGAUGCCCAAGCACAGCCCGGCCGUCUGAUGGGAGAAGAGUAGAGUAGCUCGCACAAGGACCAGCGUGUCGGUGGGGGACCACGGGGCCAGAUGCUCCAGGGGCUGAGAACUCACUUCCCACAUGUGGCCCUGGAAGAUGCCAAGGAUGAGGGGAGAUAGAAACACAUGUUACAGCACAAACAAGAAGUGGGGAGAGAAUGGAGCCGGGUCGGGAGGUAGGAGAGGCCGGCGACAUAAACAGGAGGCAGGAGAGCACAGGGACCCACGCAGGACAGAGCUAUGUGAGUCCCCCCAUGCAGGGGAAGAGUAGCAUUUAAAGCUGGGGCCAAGGCGGGGGCUCCAGAAGCUCCUGAAAGCCUCCUGAGAGAGCUUGAACUGUAGCCCAAGCCAGGUGGGGCCGUGCUUCUCUUCCUCUAGGGCGUGCUCACACAGACCCAACGGGCGGCCACCCCAGCGGAUGGCCGCCCCGGCUCCCCAGGGUAGGCCAGACACUAAAGCAAACCCUGGGGAUGCAGCAAAGAGCAGAAAUGCCUGGCUCUGGCCGCAAUGGCUCAUAAUCCAGUAGCAAAGGCAACGAAAUAAUCGCCCCCAUCUGCCUGCCUCCCUGCGGGAAUCUGACCACUCCGAAGUCAGGGCACAGGAGAUGCAUGUUCCCGGCCUGCGGAGGGGAGUCAGCCCACUCCCCAUGCCCUCGAUGCCGUCUGGAUGCUGAGUACCAUAACCACCGCCCCCCACAGGCUUCGUCACAUGAGACAUGACCCUCCGCAAAGGGUGCUUCGUCUCCCUGCGCCAGGCAGGAGCCCUCUCCCAGGCGGCCAGCGGACCACUGCUGAGUCAGGUCCGGCGGGGGAAACGGUCCAGCUAUUUUCCUGCUGUGGUGAGGAAGUCUCCCCGUGACUCUGCUCUCAGGGCCUGGUCAGCAGGUUUCUCUAGGAGCAGAGAGGAAAAGAAAGAUAGGGCCGUCCUCCUGGGGCCUGAGUUCAGGGAGCCCUGGGUACUGCUCAACAGGAAAUGAGCAGAACCGUACCCAAGCUGCAGUGCUCAGG